ensembl:rRNA 5_8S_rRNA 5.8S ribosomal RNA
GACUCUUGUCAGUGGAUCCAUCACUCCACUCGUGAGUCGAUGAAGAACGCAGCUAGCUGCGAGAAUUAAUGUGAAUUGCAGGACACAUUGAUCAUCCACACUUUGAACGCAUUUGCGGCCCUGGUUUCCUCCCAGGGCUACACCUGUCUGAGCAUUG